rnacentral:rRNA from 1 species
CCUACGGGAGGCUGCAGUGGGGGAUAUUGCACAAUGGGGGAAACCCUGAUGCAGAGACGCCGCGUGAGGGAAGACGGCCUUCGGGUUGUAAACCUCUGUCGCAGGGGACGAAGGAAGUGACGGUACCCUGUGAGGAAGCCACGGCUAACUACGUGCCAGCAGCCGCGGUAAUACGUAGGGGGCAAGCGUUAUCCGGAUUUACUGGGUGUAAAGGGGGCGCAGACGGCGAUGCAAGCCAGGAGUGAAAGCCCGGGGCCCAACCCCGGGACUGCUCUUGGAACUGCGUGGCUGGAGUGCAGGAGGGGCAGGCGGAAUUCCUGGUGUAGCGGUGAAAUGCGUAGAUAUCAGGAGGAACACCGGUGGCGAAGGCGGCCUGCUGGACUGCAACUGACGUUGAGGCCCGAAAGCGUGGGGAGCAAACAGGAUUAGAUACCCGGGUAGUC